rnacentral:rRNA from 1 species
GUCGAACGAGAAAGUUUCCUUCGGGAAAUUAGUAAAGUGGCGCAAGGGUGAGUAUCACGUGAAUAAUCUGCCCUCGAGGUCGGGAUAACAUGGUGAAAACUAUGCUAAUACCGGAUAAGACCACAUUUCAUAAGAAAUGCGGUAAAAGGAGUCUCAAUCUUCACUCGAGGAUGAGUUCGCGCAACAUUAGCUUGUUGGUGAGAUAAAAGCUCACCAAGGCUACGAUGUUUAGCCGGCCUGAGAGGGUGAACGGCCACACUGGAACUGAGACACGGUCCAGACUCCUACGGGAGGCAGCAGUGGGGAAUAUUGCGCAAUGGGCGAAAGCCUGACGCAGCAACGCCGUGUGAGCGAUGAAGGCUUUAGAGUCGUAAAGCUCUGUCAAAUGGGAAGAAUUUUGACGGUACCAUUAGAGGAAGCCCCGGCUAACUCCGUGCCAGCAGCCGCGGUAAUACGGAGGGGGCAAGCGUUGUUCGGAAUUAUUGGGCGUAAAGCGUAUGUAGGCGGUUAAGUAAGUCAGGCGUGCAAGCCCGUGGCUCAACCACGGAAUUGCGUUUGAAACUAUUUGGCUUGAGUACAGGAGAGGAAAGCGGAAUUCCCAGUGUAGCGGUGAAAUGCAUUGAUAUUGGGAAGAACAUCUGUGGCGAAGGCGGCUUUCUGGUCUGUUACUGACGCUGAGAUACGAAAGCCAGGGUAGCGAACGGGAUUAGAUACCCCGGUAGUCCUGGCUGUAAACGAUGGGCACUAGGUGCAGGAGGUAUCGAUCCCCUCUGUGCCGUAGCUAACGCGUUAAGUGCCCCGCCUGGGGAGUA